rnacentral:rRNA from 1 species
AUUGAACGCUGGCGGCAUGCCUUACACAUGCAAGUCGAACGGCAGCACGGGUGCUUGCACCUGGUGGCGAGUGGCGAACGGGUGAGUAAAGUAUCGGAACGUGCCCUUAAGUGGGGAUAACUACCCGAAAGGGUGGCUAAUACCGCAUAUUCUGUGAGCAGGAAAGCGGGGGAUCGCAAGACCUCGCGCUGAAGGAGCGGCCGAUAUCAGAGUAGCUAGUUGGUGGGGUAAAGGCCUACCAAGGCGACGAUCUGUAGCGGGUCUGAGAGGAUGAUCCGCCACACUGGGACUGAGACACGGCCCAGACUCCUACGGGAGGCAGCAGUGGGGAAUUUUGGACAAUGGGGGCAACCCUGAUCCAGCCAUGCCGCGUGAGUGAAGAAGGCCUUCGGGUUGUAAAGCUCUUUCGGCCGGGAAGAAAUCGCAUGGGUUAACACCCUGUGGAUGACGGUACCGGAAUAAGAAGCACCGGCUAACUACGUGCCAGCCGCCGCAGUAA